rnacentral:rRNA from 1 species
UUUAAAUGUAUUUUGUUUACUAGAUUAGUAUUAGUUAUGUUCUUGAAAAUUAAAAAAUUUGGCGGUAUUUUAGUCUUUUCAGAGGAACCUGUCCUGUAAUCGAUAAUCCACGAUUUAUUAUACUUAUUUUAUUAAUUUGUAUAUCGUCGUCAUUUGAAUGUUUUAUAAGAAUUUUAACAUUCAAGAUUAUAAAUAAUUAAAAAAAUCAGAUCAAGGUGCAGUUUAUAAAUAAGAAGAGAUGGGUUACAUUAAAUUUAUUUGUGGUUAAAAUAAUGCAAUUUAUUUUUUAAAUUGGAUUUGAAAGUAAUUUUAAAUUUAUUUUUAAAAUGAUUUAGCUCUAAAAUAUGC